AAAAAAAAGCUUUUCUUUAGAGUACGGUUUCUAUCUCUGCUUCAUAUAGGUGGCAUGUAAUCCUGACUUCAAUCCUGAGUUCACUGGAAAAAUGACCAGAUUGAGUUUCAUUUCCUGUCCAUUAUGGAGUUAGUACUUUAGAUGUUCAUCUGAAAUCCUUCUAUAGUAGCAGAAAGAUGAAUGCCUCUAGACAAUGAUUCAUCCCAUCCCAGCAUAAGUGCCUAAAAUAAGUGAAAUGACUCAUUUGCUGAAAUAAUAUGUUCUCCAUUCUGUAGGAGCAUGGGCAGUGAUGCAUAGAGAACAAGUUGACACAUCCUCUUUUUUGGCAUAGCCUAAGUAAAAGUAAUGGGGCUAUAGGACAUCUGUCUAGGGUGAUCUCAUUGUAUUUAGGAUAAAUGGCAAAAUUCCACUGUAUUUGUGAGCUCAGGUGACACUUCUAUUCGGUGUUCUAUUCAACAACCAGAUUACUCAGUUUUAUUAAAAAGACAUAGAUCUGAAAGGGAUGGUAGGUGAGCAUAAAGCUGCAUGUUAGUCAACAGAACUGCAGCAAAACAGAAAGCUAAUUUUAUGAAAUGUGUGCGUUGGUCUUUCCUACUGAAAUUUUGGGGGAGAACAAGCAAUACGGUAAGUGUUCUGUAGAAUUUAAUUAUUUGUGUGAUUAAUCUCCUUUGAAUACAAUAUUUGUGGCUCCCCAAACAGUAAUUGAAUGUUCAUACUCCAUAGCAGGCAGAGGAAGGAGCCUAUCUAUGUUAAGACAGUUAUUUUAAAAGUUACAGUGAUAAUAAAUGGAAUUUUGAAGCUUCUUGUAGGAGUGUGACACACGUUAAACAUCAAACCCUCCUGUUGCAGAUUACUUGAUCUGGCAUUUAAAGACUGGGAUUGGUCAUUUGAUGAUGUUGAUGAUAUUGAUGAUGAUGAUGAUGAUGACGAUGUUUUUGAUUUCUGAAGAAGUAUAAGGGCUAACUGCUUUCCAUGAACGCAGACGCAACUCAAGGUGAUAAUUUUCUUCCUGUUACAGCAAGACUGAAACAUAUCCCAAAAUAUAUUAAAAAUAUAUAUUUUCCUGAGAGAUUGUGCUAUAUAUAUCAGAGGUUUACAUUUUUGCUGCAAUAUAAAUUACUAAUCUCUGAGGGUUUUCCUGUAUUCCCCCAAGUGACUGAUCAAACGAGGAAUGGCUGGUAAAUAGUAAAAGGAUAUGUUAGGUAACCUUUUAAAUUCUGUUCCACAAAAGCUUUCUCAGCAAGACACAUACACUACAUUUCAUAAAAGGACUGAGAAUGAAUAUUUAAACUGAAGAAAGUGACUUUUCAGCUUUCAUAAAGAUGCCACCAGCAUGCCUGCGAGAACAGGAGGACGAUCCAUCGUAGUGAUAUAGACUGCAUCUGUAAGAAGUGACCAUUAUACUGUGUAUAUAUAUUGUACUGUAAUACUGCAAGAGGGUUUUAAAAAUCUUUCCACUUUAUUUUUUUAUGCUUAUUAAUCAGAUACCGUUACUUAUUGCAGUUGCAACUAUGCACUUGUAUAAAGCCAUAAUGUUGAAGUUUAUAUCAUUCAUACAUGUCUAUCAAAAGCUGCAUGUCAGUGUUCAGCAGCUAGUUCAAAGUAUAUGCUAGUUUCAGCUGCGUCAUCACGGGCAGUCCUGUUUUACCUGUCUAAUUGCCUUAAUUUAAUUUUUUUUUUCGAGGUUUUUUUUUUUGGCCCAUUCUCUGUAUUUAAGGAAAAAGGUUUACCAGCUCUUAGGAUGCAAUUUUGCUUUGUGGCAGAAAAAAUAGUGCACUAUUUUUACACCUAGUAGGUAUAUCAAUGUCAACUUACUUUGAAUGUAUAUCGACUGGUUUUGAGGGUGGAGACGUGUUGGUUACAAAAACAAUGUCUGAUAAGAAUGGACUUACUAGACCAUGUGCUUAUACAUGUAACUGCUCAUCCAGCCCUUCUUACAAACCUCAAUAUAGUUAUUGACUUAUAUUAACCCUCAUUAAGUGCUAUGAAAACUUCAUUUUGCCUUGUUUUUGCAUACUCUCCUAGACGUGUGUUUAUUUCUGGAAGAAAAGAAAAAAAGAAUCUGUGAUUAUUUUUUACAUUUCACAACACAACACCCAAGAAGUGUCACAAACUUUAAAGAAAACUAAUACAUACUGUAGAUGUAUUUUAAAGUUUUAAAUCUGGUUCUCUAGCACAUAGCUGUAGGCAUAGAUAAAUAUUUCAGUAGUGUGUUUUGAGAACUGAUAGCUGGGAAUAAAGGGCCUCAGAGGCACUUAAUUGGACUUUUUUUUUUUUUACUUGGGAGUUGUACAAAAAAUAGAGUUUAUGUGGAUUCAUUCAUGAUGCGUUCAUCAUUAUCCCAGAAAAUGCAUGUUUUAUACAACUGCAGUAUGCUAUGUUCAACAUAUUGACAGUAAAAAAUGUAGUCUCCUAUUUGGUCUCUUUAUAUAUAUAAAUAUAUAUAUAUAUUUAAAAUAUAUAUAUAUAUAUAAACUAUUGUGUGGGAGUGCAGUAAUUUAAAAUAUGAUCUAACACUUCAAUGAAGGAGGACAUUUCACUUUAAAAUUUUGUUUGUUUGUUUUUGUUUUUUUUUAAAGAGUGUUGAAAUGUUUGGAAGGAUAGGACCAUGAUUUAUUUAACACUAUCAUGAAUGGUGGACUUGGAAACACUGAAAUACUGAAAAUGAAUAAAUAUAUUUGCAUUUUGUAACUGCAGUUCAGCUUAACAGAGCCAGAAUGUAUUCAGUCUUCUAUUUAUGCACUCGCAAAGUAAAACAUUGUUUGUGAGUUCUUAAAUCCAGACCUAAAUCUUUCGUAUCAUUAUCUUUAGGUAUUAUAACCCAACGCACAGCUACAGUGUUUUUUCCCUGCUUGUUUGGAUUUACAGAAGUGCGGUAUAUUUUUAGGUCAAGCAGAUUUGCGUAGAGUACAACAUUAAAAAUGUAUACAGUAAAACUGUUUCCAUUCACUGAAUGCAUAAAUAUUUUAUAUAUAAAAAAAUGUUACAUUGUGGGAAGUUCUAUCCUUUUCUGAAUUGGAGAAUAUUAUAUAUAUAUUUUUAAAUAAACUAUUUGAGUAAGGUAAAAUAGUUCCUGAACUUGACAAGCUGGUAAUUAAUUGAAGUAUUGAAACACAUAGGCAACUACUGCAGCAGAUAUGGGAAAGGCAAAGCCAAGCAGAGGCCGUGUGGAGAAGGGCAUACUCUGUGGAGUUGGUUUGCAGCCCAUCCUGUACCAGGUUGGAUCUGUUGCACUUCCUCUGCAUGUCUUGCCCUCAUCUAUUGUGAAUGCCUGCAGUCCUGUCGUGCCUGGUAUUUUAGGAACUGUACAUCAUAAGGUAUUUACUAGCUGCAGUUUAUACAUUCUGUACUUAUAGAAAUAGUUACUAGCUACACAUACAGCAGGCUGUAUUGAGAAGCUAUUUUAGAAUGAUAGGGGCUGAAAUGGAGCACAGGUUUGCUGGUUGGACCUCUCCCACAAAGCAAGUCCUCCUUAGAAGGGGGACCUCGAGACCUGGUCUCUUGGGUUUCCAGUGCCUCUAGGGAUGAAAGUACUGUAGCAUUCCUCAGCUCUCCUACAUGCAGUUGUGUCCCAAAAGGAACAAACAUGUGGGCAAUGUUGAGCUGUAACGUGGAGGUCAUUUGGCCAAUGGUAUGAUGUGAAUGGCCUUUGUUUUGUACUCAGGACAGAAAAGCCAGAGCAGUUUUUCUGUCCCUCUCACGUGUCAGAGCUUUCAUUUGCUGAUCUGUGGACUGAAAGGACCCCAUUAAUAUUAGUUCCUGGAGGUUGCAGUGUCUCCCUAUUGUCUUGUAGGAAUCAUUUAAAACUGAGAGAAGAAUAUCAGGGACUGGCUGUUUCAUACGGUUUAUUUUUGUAACAGGGCUGUUGCAGAAAUUGAACGUUUUUAUGGCCUGGCUGAUUUUAUCUAUGAAAAUUAUUUUAUUGCAAGUCCUGUUGUUUCACAAGAGUAUACAGACACAGCCAAGUAUACAGCCAAGCUGCAGAUUAACCUUCUGGAAGGCUCAAACUGGGAGCCGGCAGCUCAAGACAUACACAGAGAAGUUGCUAUUUGGUUUCCAUCCAGGAGCUCAUCAGCACAGAAGCUGGACAAGAAGCCCCCAUCUGAGCAGCAUGUCAGCUGUCACAAAGGCCUUCCUGAAAAUAGAUUUCCAUGUCUGUCCUGGUUGUGUGCUGCACUUCCAUAGUUCCAGUGGCUCCUGCCAAAAGCUCAGCCCCUUACAGCGACAACAGAUCGAGCACCAAACAUACAUGCAACAGAACUCAGAACUUCCUGCACUUCUUACCAUGGCUGAUGCUGAAUCUAAAACAUGACAUAAACCGUAGUUCUUCCACGGAUUUGGAAACACAGAAACUGAAGUACUUUGACAGUCAGCAAAUGUAUAGAGUCACUGACGUUUCACUGCAGGUGUCUGGAUCUUUUACCACCUCUUGAAGAUGCUGGAUGUUUGGCAGGCACUCAGCGGCUCUCUUGGGUCAACAUGGCCAGAAGGUUCCUGCUGGACACAGUGUGCUUUCUGUGUUUAGUUUCUCAGGAAUGUUCAUUAGGAGUGUGA